AUACGAAGGGGGCGUAGCGUUGUUCGGAAUUACUGGGCGUAAAGCGCAUGUAGGCGGACAUUUAAGUUCAGGGGUGGAAAUACCCGGGGCGUCAACCUCGGAACUGCCUUUGUAUACUGGGUGGUCUAGAGUGUGGAAGAGGUAAGUGGAAUUCCGAGUGUAGAGGUGAAAUUCGUAGAUAUUCGGAGGAACACCAGUGGCGAAGGCGGCUUACUGGUCCAUUACUGACGCUGAGGUGCGAAAGCGUGGGGAGGC
rnacentral:rRNA from 1 species